CCUACGGGAGGCAGCAGUGGGGAAUAUUGGACAAUGGGGGCAACCCUGACCCAGCCAUGCCGCGUGUGUGAAGAAGGCCCUCGGGUUGUAAAGCACUUUCAGUGAGGAAGAACGCCUGGUGGUUAAUACCCAUCAGGAAAGACAUCACUCACAGAAGAAGCACCGGCUAACUCCGUGCCAGCAGCCGCGGUAAUACGGAGGGUGCGAGCGUUAAUCGGAAUUACUGGGCGUAAAGCGCGCGUAGGUGGCUUGAUAAGCCGGUUGUGAAAGCCCCGGGCUCAACCUGGGAACGGCAUCCGGAACUGUCAAGCUAGAGUGCAGGAGAGGAAGGUAGAAUUCCCGGUGUAGCGGUGAAAUGCGUAGAGAUCGGGAGGAAUACCAGUGGCGAAGGCGGCCUUCUGGACUGACACUGACACUGAGGUGCGAAAGCGUGGGUAGCAAACAGGAUUAGAUACCCCUGUAGUC
rnacentral:rRNA from 1 species